rnacentral:misc_RNA from 1 species
AACAUCGCGCACCUGCGGGAACCUGCGGAAGGAUCAUUACAGAGCUGCAAAACUCCCUAAACCAUUGUGAACGUUACCUAAACCGUUGCUUCGGCGGGCGGCCCGGGUCCUUCCCGGCGCCCCUCGGCCCUCGCGGGCGCCCGCCGGAGGUAAACCAAACUAUUGCAUUGUAUGGCCUCUCUGAGUCUUCUGUACUGAAUAAGUCAAAACUUUUAACAACGGAUCUCAGAUCGGAAGAGC